CCUACGGGAGGCAGCAGUAGGGAAUAUUGGUCAAUGGGUGAGAGCCUGAACCAGCCAUGCCGCGUGCAGGAAGAAGGCCUUCUGGGUUGUAAACUGCUUUUGCCAGGGGAUAAAAUAACCAUGCGUGGUUGAUUGAAGGUACCCGGUGAAUAAGCCACGGCUAACUACGUGCCAGCAGCCGCGGUAAU
rnacentral:rRNA from 1 species